CUGCAGGACACUGUUUGGAAAUACCUAAACGAACUUGAUGGCGACUCCUAGCCUGUGUUUGAGCGGACGGGACCGACUUAGACGCGUUUUGUAAAAGACGCCCCCCUCCCCCCAGCCGCUUGCCUGACCCGCAGUUUAUUUUUGUCUGUUUUUAACCUGGAGCCGUCUCAAAAGCAAGCCACGAACGGACUGCUCGGCAGCUCACUUGGAGAAGGCACAACCAGCUCUCGACGGAGCGCGGCCUGCAGUCAGCACCGGGCAGAAGGCACCGGCUGGCCCUUUCCGUAGGACCAGCGGCGGCAGCGCGGGCCCCCAGGUUUCGGUUAGACCGCAACAGGAAGUUUUCUCUUCCCUUGCGGGAAGCCGUGCAACCAAAGAGAAACUUGAACUCCCACUCCCGCGGGAGCACCCAGAGAUUCGGCUUAGGUGACGCUUCUGGGCACCCAGUUAUCGGACUCCUUGUUGUGACCUCCUUAGCGGCUUCCCCAAUAUUUUGGGGUCCUUGGAGAGCUGGAGUGGUGGCCUGUUGCCGUGUAUGGACCCAAUCUGGGAUACCACUUUAAACUAGUGAGAUCUUUAUUGAAGGGAUUUUCAGGAAUGGAGGGAAAUGAAAAAGACAAAAUCAUUUUCCUUUCUCUUGAAGACUGAACAAAAUGCACGAGGAUUCGGUAAAUGACAAAUGUCUU